AUUUCUUCGAACUAAGUGGUUCCUCUCCAAUGAUUGAAGUAAGACUUGAGCGUCCUGGGAAAGCGGUCGAGCGGCCGGGACGACUGGCCCAAAAGGACCGCCCUCUGCAUCUGAAGAGACCGGAGGUGAAGGAGGAGGUUCAGUAGGGUGAAUGGGAGGCUCUGAGGUGACAAACUCUACCUCUGAAGUCGGCCGUUCUUGAGGUCAAAAUGAAGAGCUCUGCACUUCCGCCACGGCUUCUCUCUGAGCAGCAGCAAUGGCCUCUUUCAUCUCUAACACUUUUCGGGCG
rnacentral:misc_RNA from 1 species